rnacentral:rRNA from 1 species
GAUGAACGCUAGCUACAGGCUUAACACAUGCAAGUCGAGGGGCAGCAUAGAAGUUAGCUUGCUAACUUCGGAUGGCGACCGGCGGAUGGGUGAGUAACACGUAUCCAACCUGGCCUUUACAACGGGAUAGGCUUUCGAAAGAAAGAUUAAUACUGUAUGUUCCGUGAUCUCCACAUGGAGAUUCCGGCAAAGAUUUAUCGGUAAAGGAUGGGGAUGCGUUCCAUUAGGUAGUAGGUGAGGUAACGGCCCACCUAGCCAACGAUGGAUAGGGGUUCUGAGAGGAAGGUCCCCCACAUUGGAACUGAGACACGGUCCAAACUCCUACGGGAGGCAGCAGUGAGGAAUAUUGGUCAAUGGGCGAGAGCCUGAACCAGCCAAGUAGCGUGCAGGAUGACGGCCCUAUGGGUUGUAAACUGCUUUUGAAGGGGAAUAAAAGGAUCUACGUGUAGAUUUUUGCAUGUACCUUUCGAAUAAGGAUCGGCUAACUCCGUGCCAGCAGCCGCGGUAAU